CGGGACACGUGGUAUCCUGUCUGAAUAUGGGGGGACCAUCCUCCAAGGCUAAAUACUCCUGACUGACCGAUAGUGAACCAGUACCGUGAGGGAAAGGCGAAAAGAACCCCGGCGAGGGGAGUGAAAAAGAACCUGAAACCGUGUACGUACAAGCAGUGGGAGCACGCUUAGGCGUGUGACUGCGUACCUUUUGUAUAAUGGGUCAGCGACUUAUAUUCUGUAGCAAGGUUAACCGAAUAGGGGAGCCGAAGGGAAACCGAGUCUUAACUGGGCGUUAAGUUGCAGGGUAUAGACCCGAAACCCGGUGAUCUAGCCAUGGGCAGGUUGAAGGUUGGGUAACACUAACUGGAGGACCGAACCGACUAAUGUUGAAAAAUUAGCGGAUGACUUGUGGCUGGGGGUGAAAGGCCAAUCAAACCGGGAGAUAGCUGGUUCUCCCCGAAAGCUAUUUAGGUAGCGCCUCGUGAAUUCAUCUCCGGGGGUAGAGCACUGUUUCGGCAAGGGGGUCAUCCCGACUUACCAACCCGAUGCAAACUGCGAAUACCGGAGAAUGUUAUCACGGGAGACACACGGCGGGUGCUAACGUCCGUCGUGAAGAGGGAAACAACCCAGACCGCCAGCUAAGGUCCCAAAGUCAUGGUUAAGUGGGAAACGAUGUGGGAAGGCCCAGACAGCCAGGAUGUUGGCUUAGAAGCAGCCAUCAUUUAAAGAAAGCGUAAUAGCUCACUGGUCGAGUCGGCCUGCGCGGAAGAUGUAACGGGGCUAAACCAUGCACCGAAGCUGCGGCAGCGACGCUGAUGCGUUGUUGGGUAGGGGAGCGUUCUGUAAGCCUGUGAAGGUGUGCUGUGAGGCAUGCUGGAGGUAUCAGAAGUGCGAAUGCUGACAUAAGUAACGAUAAAGCGGGUGAAAAGCCCGCUCGCCGGAAGACCAAGGGUUCCUGUCCAACGUUAAUCGGGGCAGGGUGAGUCGACCCCUAAGGCGAGGCCGAAAGGCGUAGUCGAUGGGAAACAGGUUAAUAUUCCUGUACUUGGUGUUACUGCGAAGGGGGGACGGAGAAGGCUAUGUUGGCCGGGCGACGGUUGUCCCGGUUUAAGCGUGUAGGCUGGUUUUCCAGGCAAAUCCGGAAAAUCAAGGCUGAGGCGUGAUGACGAGGCACUACGGUGCUGAAGCAACAAAUGCCCUGCUUCCAGGAAAAGCCUCUAAGCAUCAGGUAACAUCAAAUCGUACCCCAAACCGACACAGGUGGUCAGGUAGAGAAUACCAAGGCGCUUGAGAGAACUCGGGUGAAGGAACUAGGCAAAAUGGUGCCGUAACUUCGGGAGAAGGCACGCUGAUAUGUAGGUGAAGCGACUUGCUCGUGGAGCUGAAAUCAGUCGAAGAUACCAGCUGGCUGCAACUGUUUAUUAAAAACACAGCACUGUGCAAACACGAAAGUGGACGUAUACGGUGUGACGCCUGCCCGGUGCCGGAAGGUUAAUUGAUGGGGUCAGCGCAAGCGAAGCUCUUGAUCGAAGCCCCGGUAAACGGCGGCCGUAACUAUAACGGUCCUAAGGUAGCGAAAUUCCUUGUCGGGUAAGUUCCGACCUGCACGAAUGGCGUAAUGAUGGCCAGGCUGUCUCCACCCGAGACUCAGUGAAAUUGAACUCGCUGUGAAGAUGCAGUGUACCCGCGGCAAGACGGAAAGACCCCGUGAACCUUUACUAUAGCUUGACACUGAACAUUGAGCCUUGAUGUGUAGGAUAGGUGGGAGGCUUUGAAGUGUGGACGCCAGUCUGCAUGGAGCCGGCCUUGAAAUACCACCCUUUAAUGUUUGAUGUUCUAACGUUGACCCGUGAUCCGGGUUGCGGACAGUGUCUGGUGGGUAGUUUGACUGGGGCGGUCUCCUCCUAAAGAGUAACGGAGGAGCACGAAGGUUGGCUAAUCCUGGUCGGACAUCAGGAGGUUAGUGCAAUGGCAUAAGCCAGCUUGACUGCGAGCGUGACGGCGCGAGCAGGUGCGAAAGCAGGUCAUAGUGAUCCGGUGGUUCUGAAUGGAAGGGCCAUCGCUCAACGGAUAAAAGGUACUCCGGGGAUAACAGGCUGAUACCGCCCAAGAGUUCAUAUCGACGGCGGUGUUUGGCACCUCGAUGUCGGCUCAUCACAUCCUGGGGCUGAAGUAGGUCCCAAGGGUAUGGCUGUUCGCCAUUUAAAGUGGUACGCGAGCUGGGUUUAGAACGUCGUGAGACAGUUCGGUCCCUAUCUGCCGUGGGCGCUGG
rnacentral:rRNA from 1 species